rnacentral:ncRNA from 2 species
AUAUGAUAUAGAGGCCGCGAAUUGUCAAUAGUAACAUAUACCGUGAAGGUAUAUGUGAAAGGGGCGUUCGCCGAAGUUCUUAACAUAAAAGUUAUGAAUUGGGAUUAUACUGAAUAAGUAUAAUACUGUCUUUAGAGAAUUGCCCAAUUUUCUAAAGGAGUGCUUAUCAUAU